GAGACUGUAGCAUAAUCGGUAAUGCGUACCGCUCAUAAUGGUUUUUAUCUAGGUUCAAUUCCUUGCGGUCUUA
rnacentral:tRNA from 1 species